rnacentral:misc_RNA from 1 species
UACGUAGGGUGCAAACGUUGUUCGGAAUUAUUGGGCGUAAAGAGCGUGUAGGUGGUUAAGUAAGUUGGGUGUGAAAUCCCCCGGCCCAACCGGGGAAGUGCAUCCAAAACUGCUUAACUUGAGGAUGGCAGAGGGAGGUGGAAUUCCUAGUGUAGAGGUGAAAUUCGUAGAUAUUAGGAGGAAUACCGGUGGCGAAGGCGGCCUCCUGGACCAUUCCUGACACUGAGACGCGAAAGCGUGGGGAGCAAACAGG